AUUGAACGCUGGCGGCAGGCUUAACACAUGCAAGUCGAGCGGGGUGAUGGUGCUUGCACUAUCACUUAGCGGCGGACGGGUGAGUAAUGCUUAGGUAUCUGCCUAUUAGUGGGGGACAACAUCUCGAAAGGGAUGCUAAUACCGCAUACGUCCUACGGGAGAAAGCAGGGGAUCACUUGUGACCUUUCGCUACUAGAUGAGCCUAAGUCGGAUUAGCUAGUUGGUGGGGUAAAGGCCUACCAAGGCGACGAUCUGUAGCGGGUCUGAGAGGACGGUCCGCCCAACGGCGACGGAGACACGGCCCAGACUCCUACGAGAGGCAGAAGUGGGGAAUAUUGGACAAUGGGGGGAACCCUGAUCCAGCCAUGCCGCGUGUGUGAAGAAGGCAUUAUGGUUGUAAAGCACUUUAAGCGAGGAGGAGGCUCUUUUGGUUAAUACCCAAGAUGAGUGGACGUUACUCGCAGAAUAAGCACCGGCUAACUCUGUGCCAGCAGCCGCAGUAA
rnacentral:rRNA from 1 species